GAGGGGUGAGCCAGCAGGUGGGUCGGAGCCAGGCAGGACCUCAGAUGCUUCUCUGACACCUAGGAAAUCCUUGGCCUACUGUCGGGACCUGGAGCCUGUGGAGGAUUGGGAGCUGUAGAACCGUGUGGUCAGCUCUGUCUCCUAGAACAGUCACUGUAGGCAAAGGCCUGGCCUGGGCAUGAGUGAGGCUGGGAGAUCUGUGUGAGAUGUUCUGAGAAGACGGAGGGAAG
rnacentral:lncRNA from 1 species